rnacentral:lncRNA from 1 species
CUUGCCACUUGCCAAAGACUGAAAAUAGACUCAAGUCUAUCACCAUGCACCAAACGCAAGUCAAAAUGGAUCACAGAUCUCAAUAUUUAAACAGAAACAGUAAAUCUAUUGGAAGAGAAAGUAGGUAAAAAUCUUGAAGACAUAGGGGUAGUCAGAGAGUUCAUGAAUAAAAACCAAACCGCAUGUGAGAUACUUCAAAGAAUCAACAACUGGGAUCGCAUCUUACUGAUUUGUCAAUUUUCAAGAGGACCUUGGCACAAAUAUUUGUUCCUUAUACUUAAGCACAUGAAUAUUCCAU